UCGUGCUAAGAAGUGCAUUUUCUUGGGUUAUGGCUUAGGGGUUAAAGGCUAUCGUUUAUAUGACCUAGAAUCUCAUAAAGUAAUUCACAGUCGGAAUGUGACCUUUAAUGAAAAUGCUAUGCUCUCUUCUGCAAAAGAUACUGUCAUUUCCUCAAUUGAUACAGGUGACCAAGAAGAUGCUCGAGAGAAGGUGGAGUUUGAGAUUAAAACACCCGCUCAUGAGGAAGA
rnacentral:lncRNA from 1 species